UAAGUAAAAAAACAAUUUUUUCAUCAGUCUAUAACGCAUUCGUGAUAGAAAAUAUUAUCUCUAUUGCAUUAGUUCCAGACAUUACUAGAAAAUAUUCCUCCAAAAGUUGUUAAUAAAUAUAUGUACAUAUUUGUUUUAAAUUGCAUCACAUCAUUUUUCUUUAAAGUAUGAACACAAUUAUUCUGCCAUUCUUUUAAAUUGUUAAUAAUUUGUCUUUUAUUACGUCAUUGACUAUAUCAUACAUGAUUAAAUUAUAUUAUAUUUAUCAAAAAGAUUAUAUACAUCCACAUUCCAAUUGAUUUAUUUUUUAUUAUUUUUCAAAAGAAUGUUUUGUUCAAUUUUAUACUGUAUUGUAUUUUUUUUAUAUACCGGUUUUUUGUUUACGCACUUAUAAUAAUAUGGAAAUAACUGGAUUAAAAAGGCACUAUCUUCUAAAAUUGGGACAAAAGGUGUCUCGUUUGAAAUUUGGUAAAGCAACAGGGCAUGAUGAUCAAAAAAGGGACAAUCCCGUUUUAAACAGGACUUAUGGUCACCCUAACCUAAA